rnacentral:rRNA from 1 species
GAUGAACGCUAGCGAUAGGCCUAACACAUGCAAGUCGAGGGGCAUCACAUGAAGUAGCAAUACGGAUGGUGGCGACCGGCGCACGGGUGAGUAACACGUAUGCAACCUGCCUUCAACAAGGGGAUAACCCGUUGAAAGACGGACUAAUACCCUAUAACACAGGGGUCCCGCAUGGGAAUAUUUGUUAAAGGACAACCGGUUGAAGAUGGGCAUGCGUUCCAUUAGCUAGUUGGCGGGGUAACGGCCCACCAAGGCAACGAUGGAUAGGGGAACUGAGAGGUUUAUCCCCCACACUGGUACUGAGACACGGACCAGACUCCUACGGGAGGCAGCAGUGAGGAAUAUUGGUCAAUGGACGCAAGUCUGAACCAGCCACGUCGCGUGAAGGAAGACGGCCCUACGGGUUGUAAACUUCUUUUAACGGGAAUAAAGUGCCCCACGCGUGGGGUUUUGCAUGUACCGUAUGAAUAAGGAUCGGCUAACUCCGUGCCAGCAGCCGCGGUAAUUACUGACU